AGUCAUAUCACAUCGAAAUACCGGUUUUCGUGUGAUCACCGAAGUUAAGCAACGUCGAACCUGGUUAGUAACUAGAUGGGUGGUCGCUUGGGAGUAAUAGGUGCCGUAAG